rnacentral:tRNA from 1 species
UGGAUCACCUCCUAACAGGGAGACAACAAAAUGUUUAGUAUUAUUAUUUUGUCACCUUAGGUCGAUCGGUAUCUCACAUUCUUAAUUAAUUAAGAAUUUCAUUUCCUAAGUUUUUCUAGGUCACACCCAUUAUUUUUCCUGGGCCAUUAGCUCAGGUGGUUAGAGCGCACCCCUGAUAAGGGUGAGGUCCCUGGUUCAAGUCCAGGAUGGCCCAUAUCUCUAUGUUGGGGGUAUAGCUCAGUUGGUAGAGCGCCUGCUUUGCAAGCAGGAUGUCAGCGGUUCGAGUCCGCUUACCUCCACUGAUUACCACCUCUUCCAUAAUCUGUAGAAAGGAAAUGUUUUGAGUUGUGAUCAAAUUCUGAACGAAUCUAGCUUCCUAAUGAAACCAUUAAGAUGCUGGACUCAUUGAAUUAAUUUCAUUGUUUUCAGAGAACCUUGACAACUGCAUAGAUUAUUUUUAAAGACAAUAAGCAUCUUUAUUGAUGCAGAUUUAUUAUUUGUGCGAACGCACUAAUAACAAUUCUAUUAAGCUGAUGCUUCAAUUUUGAAGUUAUUGGUCAAGCUACAAAGGGCUCACGGAGGAUACCUAGGCACACAGAGGCGAUGAAGG